rnacentral:rRNA from 1 species
UUCAUUAGCUUGCUUUUGAAGAUCAGCGGCGGACGGGUGAGUAACACGUGGGCAACCUGCCUGUAAGACUGGGAUAACUUCGGGAAACCGGAGCUAAUACCGGAUAAUCCUUUCCCUCUCAUGAGGGAAAGCUGAAAGACGGUUUCGGCUGUCACUUACAGAUGGGCCCGCGGCGCAUUAGCUAGUUGGUGAGGUAACGGCUCACCAAGGCAACGAUGCGUAGCCGACCUGAGAGGGUGAUCGGCCACACUGGGACUGAGACACGGCCCAGACUCCUACGGGAGGCAGCAGUAGGGAAUCUUCCGCAAUGGACGAAAGUCUGACGGAGCAACGCCGCGUGAACGAUGAAGGCCUUCGGGUCGUAAAGCUCUGUUGUCAGGGAAGAACAAGUACCGGAGUAACUGCCGGUACCUUGACGGUACCUGACCAGAAAGCCACGGCUAACUACGUGCCAGCAGCCGCGGUAAUACGUAGGUGGCAAGCGUUGUCCGGAAUUAUUGGGCGUAAAGCGCGCGCAGGCGGUUCCUUAAGUCUGAUGUGAAAGCCCCCGGCUCAACCGGGGAGGGUCAUUGGAAACUGGGGAACUUGAGUGCAGAAGAGGAGAGCGGAAUUCCACGUGUAGCGGUGAAAUGCGUAGAGAUGUGGAGGAACACCAGUGGCGAAGGCGGCUCUCUGGUCUGUAACUGACGCUGAGGCGCGAAAGCGUGGGGAGCGAACAGGAUUAGAUACCCUGGUAGUCCACGCCG